AUAAUAUAUAAAACACGUAAACUAGGAAGAACUGAACUUACUAAUAUGAUACAGGAUAUUCGAGAUAAGGCAAAAGUUAAAGGCUGGAUUUUGUAAAGGUUUGGUCAGUUACUAAAAUCUGCCGUUUAUAAAUGUGGUUUGAGUUGCUAUGAACACAGCACAGGUGUAUUAAAUAAUUCAAUAGACUUAAUAACUUUGGGGAACUUUCCCUUCCAGGAAAAAUGUACAUUGAUGUUCUAGAAGUCAAACUAGAAAUUCCAAGAAAGGAGAGCUCUGCGUCCCUAGGGUAGCACACGUUAAGCAGAAUCAUACCUGCCUCCCACCCACCAGGCAGCCCUGUGGGCGGCCGCUGACAUGUACGUUUCAUUAUCUUUUCAUCCUCGAUCUCUCCUCUCUAUUCAAACACACACCCUGUUAAAGUUGCAUCGUCUCUGUGCCUGGUUUCUUAAGGCAGCGCUCAUCACUUGUUUCGCCUUCUGGUUUCAUCCUGCACUGUAGCAGUUGGAAGGCUUAUAAUUUAAAGCCACUUGUUGAAGGAAAUAAACUGAUGCAGCUUAGUUUGAAAGCAUGGAGACUCUUUUAAGGCACACACUCUAAAAUGCACCCUGAAGUUUGGCUGAAGAGCAGCCAUUUUUUUCUUCAUUCAUUUUCAUUCAUAUAUUUACACCACACGCAACGCCUUGUGUGGGUGUGUGUGCACACACAUGUACAGUUUAUAUGUGUAUAUAAACUGCACACACACACACCUAUACUCAUUAAACACCCCAGACUCUACCACAUAAUCGUCGCUCAAUAAAUAUGAUUUCUCUAUAGUACACAGACUGCCCACUGGCCGCAGAGUUAGGGUUUUCAGGAGACUGCAGAAAAAGUACCACACUCUCCUUCUCUGGACUCACCUCUAUUUCCAUGGGCUCCACCUCUAUCUUUUUCCAUAGCUCCAGCAACUGUGCAAUGGGCAUGUUUGAAAACUUUCCCUCCGAUCAAGUAUGGACAGGGAGGAAGCAAAUGACCGGAGGCACCACGGAGAUCCAGACAGGAUGUCGGAGCGCAGGCAGAGGCGGGCGGCGCUGGAGGAGGGGAGCCGGCGAGGACGCAGUCCUGCUGGGACGGCCGCGGGCGCCGGUCAGGUCCUCGGGCCCGGGGGCUGGGGAAGGAGGCGGGGGUCUUCAGUGUGGCUGCUCCGCCGGCGCGUCCUCGCCCCCGACGGCCGCCACGCCACCCCCGGACUGCGCCAAGGGCUCGGCCGCUUCGCGCUGGCCGGAGCUGCGAGCUGGAGGAGGAGGAGGCAGGCUGCAGCCUCGGGAUGCGCGCUGCGACUUUCCCGGAGUGCGCGCCGACUCGGCCUCAGAUUGGACUCGCCGCCUCGCCCCCUCCCCUGAGCGGCCACUCCCCCUCCCCCCACUAUUUUACCUUAAUUGGCUCUAA
rnacentral:lncRNA from 1 species